ACAUAAAAUGUUUUGGACGGGUUUUGAUAUUAUUAUAACACUCGAUCAGGUCGGAUCGGAAUAGACUUCUGCAGACGUUUAAAUGUUAAUUUUAUUUUGUUUUAAAAAAAUAUAUCGGAUAUAAUUUUUCUUCUUCCUUAGAUUAACGGUCCUUUUAGGAGCUGAGUUACCAUAAACCGUUAAAAUGCCAUUCCUUAUACAGCAACUGUCCAUCAUGGUUUCUUAACUUCAUUUAUGAUGUAGGGUUAGCCCUACGAUCAACUUUCUUACUAGGGAGGAAAGAAGUUCGUGGCUAUACCCGUAAUACUUAGUGUAAUAGUUCUCACUAGGAUUUUGGAAAGGUUUAAUUAUCGUU